rnacentral:rRNA from 1 species
UACAGAGGUGCCGAGCGUUAGGCGGAAUCACUGGGCUUAAAGCGCGUGUAGGCGGGUCGUUAAGUGUCCGCGUGAAAUCCCACGGCUCAACCGUGGAACUGCCGGGCAUACUGGCGACCUUGAGGCACUUAGGGGCGAGCGGAACAAGUGGUGGAGCGGUGAAAUGCGUAGAUAUCACUUGGAACGCCAACGGUGAAAACAGCUCGCUGGGGAUGUACUGACGCUGAGACACGAAAGCCAGGGGAGCAAACGGG